rnacentral:rRNA from 1 species
GUGGGGAAUAUUGGACAAUGGGCGCAAGCCUGAUCCAGCCAUGCCGCGUGAGUGAUGAAGGCCCUAGGGUUGUAAAGCUCUUUCACCGGAGAAGAUAAUGACGGUAUCCGGAGAAGAAGCCCCGGCUAACUUCGUGCCAGCAGCCGCGGUAAUACGAAGGGGGCUAGCGUUGUUCGGAAUUACUGGGCGUAAAGCGCACGUAGGCGGACAUUUAAGUCAGGGGUAGAAUCCCGGGGCUCAACCCCGGAACUGCCUUUGAUACUGGGUGUAUGGAGUAUGGAAGAGGUAAGUGGAAUUCCGAGUGUAGAGGUGAAAUUCGUAGAUAUUCGGAGGAACACCAGUGGCGAAGGCGGCUUACUGGUCCAUUACUGACGCUGAGGUGCGAAAGCGUGGGGAGCAAACAGGAUUAGAAACCCUAGUAGUCC